rnacentral:tRNA from 1 species
UGCGGCGUGGCCUGGGUCACCAGGCGCGUCACGCUGCCGCCGCGAUAGCGGGUGAUGUGGUUCCAGAUCACUUCCACACC